AUGGACUCCUCGGCGCGAUCGGGCGCCACGGCGUCCUCCAACCCCCGCGCCUGGAUCGUCGCGGGCGUCGCCGUCGCCGGGGUCAUCGUCCUCGCGGAGGUCGCGCGGCGCCGCCGGAGGUGGCUGCGCGGCAACUCCAGCCCGCCCCCGUACUCCGGGGCCUUCUGCGACCGCCUCGAGCUCGCCCCUCCGCCGCAGCCCCCGCCUCCCGCGGCGCGCCAGCAGCUCCCGGACCUCACCUUCGCGGUCAGCGACAACUUCGAGAUCGAGGGCUAUGUAGCCGGCUUCGGAAACCCGGACUGGAAGAGGACCCACAAGGCAGCGAGCCACACGGCGGCGGCCGUCAAGGCUCUGCUGAAGCAGGGGGCUACCUGCGUCGGGAGGACAGUCAUGGAUGAACUCGGCUUUGGUGUUACUGGAGAAAAUUUACACUGUGGAACACCAAUUAACCCAGCAUCUCCAUCAGUUGUCCCUGGAGGGUCAUGCAGUGGCUCCGCUGUUGCAGUUUCUGCGCAGCUUGUCGAGUUCGCUCUUGGUACUGAUACAACUGGUGAUCUGAGAAUUCCAGCAGCUUUCUGCGGUGUUCUUUGUUUCCGGCCUUCUCAUGGGGUUGUGUCUACUCUUGGGACCUUACCGAAUUCACAUAGUCUAGACACCAUUGGAUGGCUUGCACGAGAUCCUCAUAUACUUAGUCGUGUUGGAGAUGCUCUGUUACCGGCUGCUGCAUGUGGACUUAGGGGGAAAAGGCAGUUGGUUUUUGCUGAUGAUUGCUUUGAGUUGCUAAAGAUUCCCAACCAGAAAACAGUGGAUGUCAUAGAAAAUGCUGUCCGUACAUUACCUUAUGGAUUUCAGCCACCUAAGCACAUCAAUAUUGGCCAGUAUAUCUGUUCAAAUGUACCUAGCUUGAAGGAGUUCUGCGAACCUUCUACAAAGUUGCAAGAAGGAAAGUCAGCCUUGAAAGCUCUCUGCACUGUUAUGCUGUUAUUACAGAGAUAUGAAUUCAAAGCAAACCAUGAGGAUUGGGUUAACACUGUAAAACCCAAGCUUGGCCUUGAAGUAUCUACUCGUGUACUACAAGCUGUAAACUUCACAGACGACAACAUCAAAUCCUUGUACAUUGUACGAACUGAAUGGCGAGCUGCACUGAAGAAUCUUCUAAAGGAUACUGGAAUUUUAGUUCUGCCAACCAUGGCUGGACACCCUUUGAAAAGGAACUCUAAACAGAGAUUGUCAUCCGAAUUUGAAGAUAAAAUGUACGCAUUUGUCAGCAUUGCUGCACUUUCAGGCUGUUGCCAGGCCACUGUUCCCUUGGGAAAUCACAAUGAUCAUCCUAUAUCUAUUUCAUUUGUAGCAGCUCAUGGAUCAGACAAGUUCCUUCUUCGUGCUAUCUUGGAUAUGUAUUCAGCCGUCCAAGAACAAAUAGUUUUGGCAUCCAAGUUGGCACUUCCACCAGUAAUUGAUCGUGAUGUUGAUACAUCAGAGUUGUUGAAAGAAAAGGGAAAUAAUUCCUUCAAAAGAAAACAAUGGAGCAAAGCUAUUGAAUCCUAUUCCGGGGCAAUCAAAUUGAACGACACAAAUGCGACAUACUAUUGCAAUAGAGCAGCUGCUUAUCUGGAACUUGGACGUUUCAAGCAAGCUGAAGCGGAUUGCGACCAGGCCUUACUGUUGGAUAAAAAGAAUGUUAAAGCAUACCUACGACGAGGUACCGCAAAAGAAAGUGUUUUGAAUUACCAAGAAGCUCUGCAAGAUUUCAGGCAUGCUUUAGCUUUGGAGCCGCAGAACAAAACAGCCCUUGCAGCAGAGAAAAGGCUACAGAAACACCUGAGGUGA
rnacentral:rRNA from 1 species